rnacentral:rRNA from 1 species
UACGUAGGGUGCGAGCGUUGUCCGGAAUUAUUGGGCGUAAAGGGCUCGUAGGUGGUCGUUUAAGUUGGAUGUGAAAGCCCUCGGCUCAACUGAGGAAGUGCAUCCAAAACUGAUCGGCUAGAGUACGAAAGAGGGUCGCGGAAUUCCCGGUGUAGAGGUGAAAUUCGUAGAUAUCGGGAGGAACACCGGUGGCGAAGGCGGCGACCUGGUCCGAUACUGACGCUGAGGCGCGAAAGCGUGGGGAGCAAACAGG